UAGGGAAUCUUCCGCAAUGGACGAAAGUCUGACGGAGCGACGCCGCGUGAGCGAAGAAGGUCUUCGGAUCGUAAAGCUCUGUUGUUAGGGAAGAAGAAGUGCCGUUCGAACAGGGCGGCGCGGUGACGGUACCUAACGAGAAAGCCCCGGCUAACUACGUGCCAGCAGCCGCGGUAAUACGUAGGUGGCAAGCGUUGUCCGGAAUUAUUGGGCGUAAAGCGCGCGCAGGCGGUUCCUUAAGUCUGAUGUGAAAUCUCGCGGCUCAACCGCGGGCGGCCAUUGGAAACUGGGGAACUUGAGUGCAGGAGAGGGGAGCGGAAUUCCACGUGUAGCGGUGAAAUGCGUAGAGAUGUGGAGGAACACCAGUGGCGAAGGCGGCUCUCUGGCCUGUAACUGACGCUGAGGCGCGAAAGCGUGGGGAGCGAACAGG
rnacentral:rRNA from 1 species